AUGUCGACGGUGAAGGUUGGCAUGUUUGGCGGGUCAAACGGUGAUGUCUGCGACAUCACCGGAUUGUCAAGUUUCCCGCCGUCAAGCCUAAGGAGCAUGGAGAUCUGGAGCACACCGGGUCACGAAGGGGUCAUCAACGCCAUACGCUUCACCUUCGUCGACACCAAAAACAAUGCGAUCCCGGUAGGUCCAUGGGGCACCCCACUCCGUGGUCAGAAAAGCCAGACUAUUCACUUGACGAAUGUGCGUGUCAUCGAGCUCUCCGGCUACACCAAUGGCCGAUACAUCACCUCACUCUCCUUCCGCACCACCGACGCCCCAAGGCAUCAUGGACCAUUCGGAAAAGUGAGGCCAGCAACUGGGUCCGACGCUUAUUUCCGCGUCCCUCUCAUGCACGGCUCCAUCGUGGCCUUCUGCGCCCAAGCCGACGACUACCUCAGCGCCAUUGGUGCCUAUCUCAAGAACUGA
rnacentral:rRNA from 1 species